rnacentral:rRNA from 1 species
GACGAACGCUGGCGGCGUGCUUAACACAUGCAAGUCGAACGGAAAGGCCCUGCUUUUGUGGGGUGCUCGAGUGGCGAACGGGUGAGUAACACGUGAGUAACCUGCCCUUGACUUUGGGAUAACUUCAGGAAACUGGGGCUAAUACCGGAUAGGAGCUCCUGCUGCAUGGUGGGGGUUGGAAAGUUUCGGCGGUUGGGGAUGGACUCGCGGCUUAUCAGCUUGUUGGUGGGGUAGUGGCUUACCAAGGAUUUGACGGGUAGCCGGCCUGAGAGGGUGACCGGCCACGUUGGGAAUGAGAUGCGGCCCAGACGCCUACGGGAGGCAGCAGUGGGGAAUAUUGCACAAUGGGCGGAAGCCUGAUGCAGCAACGCCGCGUGCGGGAUGACGGCCUUCGGGUUGUAAACCGCUUGCGCCUGUGACGAAGCGUGAGUGACGGUAAUGGGUAAAGAAGCAGCGGCUAACUACG